rnacentral:lncRNA from 1 species
CCCGGUGCUCCACUUCUCUCACUUAAUCUUCUAACUCAGCUUGCUGGAGACUGUCCACAAAACAUGAUUGUCAUGGUAGAGUCAGGUGCUCUUGAGGGCCUCUCCAAAUAUCUUUCUCUUGGACCUCAGGAUGAGCAAGAAGAAGCUGCAACAGUUCUUUUAGGCAUCUUAUUUAGCAGUGCUGAAAUUCGAAGGCAUGAGUCGGCAUUUGGCGCUGUCAGCCAACUUGUAGCAGUUCUGCGACUAGGUGGAAGAGGAGCAAGGUACAGUGCCGCCAAGGCAUUGGAUAGCCUCUUUACUGCUGAUCAUAUAAGAAAUGCAGAGUCUUCCAGACAAGCUGUUCAGCCAUUGGUAGAAAUUCUCAAUACUGGUUCAGAGAGGGAACAACAUGCUGCUAUUGCUGCACUUGUUAGGCUGUUGAGUGAUAAUAAUUCCAGACCGCCCCGGUGCUCCACUUCUCUCACUUAAUCUUCUAACUCAGCUUGCUGGAGACUGUCCACAAAACAUGAUUGUCAUGGUAGAGUCAGGUGCUCUUGAGGGCCUCUCCAAAUAUCUUUCUCUUGGACCUCAGGAUGAGCAAGAAGAAGCUGCAACAGUUCUUUUAGGCAUCUUAUUUAGCAGUGCUGAAAUUCGAAGGCAUGAGUCGGCAUUUGGCGCUGUCAGCCAACUUGUAGCAGUUCUGCGACUAGG